UCAGUCGACUCCUACGGGAGCAGCAGUAGGGAAUCUUCGGCAAUGGGGGCAACCCUGACCGAGCAACGCCGCGUGAGUGAAGAAGGUUUUCGGAUCGUAAAACUCUGUUGUUAGAGAAGAACGUUAAGUAGAGUGGAAAUUACUUAAGUGACGGUAUCUAACCAGAAAGGGACGGCUAACUACGUGCCAGCAGCCGCGGUAAUACGUAGGUCCCAAGCGUUGUCCGGAUUUAUUGGGCGUAAAGCGAGCGCAGGUGGUUUCUUAAGUCUGAUGUAAAAGGCAGUGGCUCAACCAUUGUGUGCAUUGGAAACUGGGAGGACUUGAGUGCAGGAGAGGAGAGUGGAAUUCCAUGUGUAGCGGUGAAAUAGCGUAGAUAUAUGGAGGAACACCGGAGGCGAAAGACGGCUCUCUGGCCUGUAACUGACACUGAGGCUCGAAAGCGUGGGGAGCAAACAGGAUUAGAUACCCUGGUAG
rnacentral:rRNA from 1 species